rnacentral:rRNA from 1 species
AUUGUUUGGAGAGUUUGAUCCUGGCUCAGGACGAACGCUGGCGGCGUGCUUAACACAUGCAAGUCGAGCGGAAAGGCCCUUCGGGGUACUC